UCCUGGCUCAGGAUGAACGCUGGCGGCGUGCAUAACACAUUCAAGUCGAACGAAGCGGUGAACGGAAGCCUUCGGGCGGAAGGUUCAUUGACUUAGUGGCGGACGGGUGAGUAACGCGUGAGCAACCUGCCUGUGAUAGAGGGAUAACACAUGGAAACGUGUGCUAAUACCACAUGAAGCGCAGAUAUCGCAUGGUAAUUGCGUUAAAGAUUUAUCGAUCGCAGAUGGGCUCGCGUAUGAUUAGGCAGUUGGUGAGGCAACGGCUCACCAAACCGACGAUCAUUAGCCGAACUGAGAGGUUGAACGGCCACAUUGGAACUGAGAAACGGUCCAGACUCCUACGGGAGGCAGCAGUGGGGAAUAUUGGGCAAUGGGCGAAAAAGCCUGACCCAGCGACGCCGCGUGAGGGAAGAAGGUCUUCGGAUUGUAAACCUCUUUCAGUAGGGAAGAAGAAAGUGACGGUACCUACAGAAGAAGUCACGGCUAACUACGUGCCAGCCGCCGC
rnacentral:rRNA from 1 species